rnacentral:lncRNA from 1 species
UGGGGAAGCAUCAGGAUGGAGUGGCUGAUCCUUGGGGCUGGCCAGCACCUGGUCCAUCCAUCAUGUUGGGUGAGCUGUCAGCAGGAUCAGUAUUUUUAAGGAGAAAUGGCCCACCUGUGGGAAAACAUACAGCACUGGUGUUGCAGGAAGCCUUGCAGAGAUCAGAAACGCUUUGAGCCUCUUUUGAGACAAGGAAGAUGUAAAAAGACAGAUGUUGCUCUUCUUCCAAGCGGUGUCUUGGCAUACCAAGCCUGGAGAACCAGAAAGCAUAGGUAUGUUUUAACAAUAUUAAAAAAAAAAAAAAAAAAAACAACAGUUAAGAGACAUUUUACUGCUACAAUGGAGCACUCCUUAUAAAAUUCUUAAAACCCUGGCCGGUUUGUGGAGCAGCAGAAAUAAAA